GGUAUAAAGGGGGCGGCCCCGGCCGCGGUUCCCUCCCUGCUGCUUACUCGGCGUCCGCGCCUCGGGCCGUCGGGACGGAGCCUCCUCGGGACCAGGACUUCAGGGCCACAGGUGCUGCCAAGAUGCUCCAGGGCCCCUGCUCCAUGCUCCUGCUCUGGGGAAUCCUUGGGGCCAUCCAGGCCCAGCAGCAGGAGGUCAUCUCACCGGACACUACGGAGAGAAACAACAACUGCCCAGAGAAGACCGACUGCCCCAUCCAUGUGUACUUCGUGCUGGACACCUCGGAGAGCGUCGCCAUGCAGUCCCCCACGGACAUCCUGCUCUUCCACAUGAAGCAGUUUGUGCCGCAGUUCAUCAGCCAGCUGCAGAACGAGUUCUACCUGGACCAGGUGGCACUGAGCUGGCGCUACGGCGGCCUGCACUUCUCCGACCAGGUGGAGGUGUUCAGCCCACCGGGCAGCGACCGGGCCUCCUUCAUCAAGAACCUGCAGGGCAUCAGCUCCUUCCGCCGCGGCACCUUCACUGACUGCGCGCUGGCCAACAUGACGGAGCAGAUCCGGCAGGACCGCAGCAAGGGCACCGUCCACUUCGCCGUGGUCAUCACCGACGGUCACGUCACCGGCAGCCCCUGCGGGGGCAUCAAGCUGCAGGCCGAGCGGGCCCGCGAGGAGGGCAUCCGGCUCUUCGCUGUGGCCCCCAACCAGAACCUGAAGGAGCAGGGCCUGCGGGACAUCGCCAGCACGCCCCAUGAGCUCUACCGCAACGACUAUGCCACCAUGCUGCCCGACUCCACCGAGAUCGACCAGGACACCAUCAACCGCAUCAUCAAGGUCAUGAAACACGAAGCCUACGGAGAGUGCUACAAGGUGAGCUGCCUGGAAAUCCCUGGGCCCCCUGGCCCCAAGGGCUACCGUGGACAGAAGGGUGCCAAGGGCAACAUGGGUGAGCCGGGAGAGCCUGGCCAGAAGGGAAGACAGGGAGACCCAGGCAUCGAAGGCCCCAUUGGAUUCCCAGGACCCAAGGGUGUUCCUGGCUUCAAAGGAGAGAAGGGUGAAUUUGGAGCCGACGGUCGCAAGGGGGCCCCUGGCCUGGCUGGCAAGAACGGGACUGACGGACGGAAGGGCAAGCUGGGGCGCAUCGGACCUCCUGGCUGCAAGGGAGACCCCGGAAACCGGGGCCCCGACGGUUACCCGGGGGAAGCAGGGAGUCCGGGGGAGCGAGGAGACCAAGGUGGCAAGGGAGACCCUGGCCGCCCAGGACGCAGAGGGCCCCCGGGAGAAAUCGGGGCCAAGGGAAGCAAGGGGUAUCAAGGCAACAACGGAGCCCCAGGAAGUCCUGGCGUGAAAGGAGCCAAGGGCGGGCCCGGGCCCCGCGGACCCAAAGGCGAGCCGGGGCGCAGGGGAGACCCCGGCACCAAGGGCAGCCCAGGCAGUGACGGCCCCAAAGGGGAGAAGGGGGACCCUGGCCCUGAGGGGCCCCGUGGCCUGGCUGGAGAAGUUGGCAACAAAGGAGCCAAGGGAGACCGAGGCUUGCCUGGACCCAGAGGCCCCCAAGGAGCUCUUGGGGAGCCUGGAAAUCAGGGAUCUCGGGGAGACCCCGGUGAUGCAGGACCCCGUGGAGACUCAGGACAGCCAGGCCCCAAGGGAGACCCCGGCAGGCCUGGAUUCAGCUACCCAGGACCCCGAGGAGCACCCGGAGAAAAAGGCGAGCCCGGCCCACGCGGCCCCGAGGGAGGCCGAGGCGACUUUGGCUUGAAAGGAGAACCUGGGAGGAAAGGAGAGAAAGGAGAGCCUGCGGAUCCUGGUCCUCCUGGUGAGCCAGGCCCUCGGGGGCCAAGAGGAGUCCCAGGACCCGAGGGUGAGCCCGGCCCCCCUGGAGACCCCGGCCUCACGGAGUGUGACGUCAUGACCUACGUGAGGGAGACCUGCGGGUGCUGUGACUGCGAGAAGCGCUGUGGUGCCCUGGACGUGGUCUUCGUCAUCGACAGCUCCGAGAGCAUUGGGUACACCAACUUCACGCUGGAGAAGAACUUCGUCAUCAACGUGGUCAACAGGCUGGGCGCCAUCGCUAAGGACCCCAAGUCCGAGACAGGGACGCGCGUGGGCGUGGUGCAGUACAGCCAUGAGGGCACUUUCGAGGCCAUCCAGCUGGACGACGAGCGUAUCGACUCCCUGUCAAGCUUCAAGGAGGCUGUCAAGAACCUUGAGUGGAUUGCGGGCGGCACCUGGACACCCUCGGCCCUCAAGUUUGCCUACGACCGCCUCAUCAAGGAGAGCCGGCGCCAGAAGACACGCGUGUUUGCGGUGGUCAUCACGGACGGGCGCCACGACCCUCGGGACGAUGACCUCAACCUGCGGGCGCUGUGCGACCGUGACGUCACAGUGACGGCCAUCGGCAUCGGGGACAUGUUCCACGAGAAGCACGAGAGUGAGAACCUCUACUCCAUCGCCUGCGACAAGCCGCAGCAGGUGCGCAACAUGACGCUGUUCUCCGACCUGGUCGCCGAGAAGUUCAUCGAUGACAUGGAGGACGUCCUCUGCCCGGACCCUCAGAUCGUGUGCCCAGACCUUCCCUGCCAAACAGAUGCACCGUGGCCUGGCGGCGAGCCCCCGGUCACCUUCCUCCGCACGGAAGAGGGGCCGGACGCCACCUUCCCCAGGACCAUCCCCCUGAUCCAACAGUUGCUAAACGCCACGGAGCUCACGCAGGACCCGGCCGCCUACUCCCAGCUGGUGGCCGUGCUGGUCUACACCGCCGAGCGGGCCAAGUUCGCCACCGGGGUAGAGCGGCAGGACUGGAUGGAGCUGUUCAUUGACACCUUUAAGCUGGUGCACAGGGACAUCGUGGGGGACCCCGAGACCGCGCUGGCCCUCUGCUAAAGCCCGGGUGCCCGCUCAGCCGGGCCGGCCCCUCCCUGCCACACUAGCUUCCCAGGGCUGCCCCCCGCAGGCUGGCUCUCAGUGGAGGCCAGAGAUCUGGAAUUGGGUUCAGCGGAGCCACAGUCCUUCCAGGGGCUCUGGGGCAGCUUCCCGCCUCUUCCCACCCUGGUGGCCACUGUGUCCCUUGCUGCGGCUGCAUCUUCCAGUCUCUCCUCCGUCUUCCUGUGGCCGCUGUUUUUAUAAGGACACCAGUCAUUGAAUUUAAGGCCCACCCCAAGUCCAGAAUGACCUCGCGAGACCCUUAGCUCACUCCCAUCUGCAGAGUCCUGCUUUGCUGUAUCAGGUCACCCUCGCAGGCUCCAGGGUUUGGGCGUGGAAGUCUUUGGAGGCCCUUAGCAGCCCAGCUGGGCUGCCGUGCGUCUGGGAUGGGGCUGAGGAGGGGGUGCUGCCCAAGUGGUGGAGGAUGUUCCAACCCCAGAGGCUGGUGAGCCUUGCUGGGUGUGGGCUCUAAUCCCGUGCAUGGUGACUCGGCGCUCACGGCCCACCUGGUGGCAGGUGAAGGGAAACCUGGCAGUCCUGGCACCAUGACAUAUCUGGGCUGCUGUCAUGCACAUUGGGGUGAAUGGCCACAGCUACCUGCCAGCAGCCCUGGUCCCAGGGUGUCUGCACCUUUCCAGCCCAGCCUCUGGGUCCCCAAAAGCACAGUCGGGGGAGCAUCCA